UAGGUGAACAUUCUUAAUGCACUCAGACAUAUAAUCCACUCCUGUCCAUAUCACGCGAUUGGCUCAACAAGCAAGAACCGACACGCCAGAAUGUCUUGUUAGACACUAGGCGGAAAUUAUGAUAUCAUUAAUUUUCGUUGACAUUUGCCAAUUGUCCCUCUGUCCAAAUAAAUCUAUGAAACUUUGGUACAGGAAACAAUUGAUAAUGCAAUGAUGUAGUGACUAAGCCGUGACUCAUACAUUCGACGUAGUUUCAAGUUUGUGCCUUGUGUUGUUAUUUGUGUUUCUUAUGGAAUGUUGCUGAGGCUAACAGUCAUGUGGUUCGUGUGUGUGUGUGCAAGAAUCCUUGAAACGACAAACUCGCCAACCAUAGAAGAGGUGUCCACGGUGACAAAGGAGAAAUGUGAUUUGGAGACAAAUAAUUUUUGCGGUAUCUUUAAUAACACGAAUCCUCAACAUCAGUUUUAUAAUCAAGGAUGAUUUAAUAAAAUUUGUUUUUUUUAA